GUUGUUGUAAGUUCGGAUGUAUAUUCUGAGAAGGGGACUGGUGAAGUCGUUUUUGAUGUGGUUGUUGAAGGCGAACUUGCAAUUGUUGGAGAAUGUGUCGAUUGCUCAGAAGUACUUUCAAUUAUUGAAGGGGAGGUUGUUGUAAGUUCGGAUGUAUAUUCUGAAGAGGGGACUGGUGUAGUCGUUUUUGAUGUGGUUGUUGAAGGCAAACUUGCAAUUGUUGGAGAACGUGUCGAUUGCUCAGAAGUACUUUCAAUUAUUGAAGGGGAGGUUGUUGUAAGUUCGGAUGUAUAUUCUGAAGAGGGGACUGGUGUAGUCGUUUUUGAUGUGGUUGUUGAAGGCAAACUUCCAAUUGUUGGAGAACGUGUCAAUUGCUCAGAAGUACUUUCAAUUAUUGAAGGGGAGGUUGUUGUAAGUUCAGAUGUAUAUUCUGAAGAGGGGACUGGUGAAGUCGUUUUUGAUGUGGUUGUUGAAGGUGAACUUGCAAUUGUUGGAGAAUGUGUCGAUUGUUCAGAAGUACUUACAAUUAUUGAAGAGGAGGUUGUUGUAAAUUCGGAUGUAUAUUCUGAAGAGGGGACUGGUGUAGUCGUUUUUGAUGUGGUUGUUAAAGGCAAACUUGCGAUUGUUGGAGAACGUGUCGAUUGCUCAGAAGUACUUUCAAUUAUUGAAGGGGAGGUUGUUGUAAGUUCGGAUGUAUAUUCUGAAGAGGGGACUGGUGUAGUCGUUUUUGAUGUGGUUGUUAAAGGCGAACUUGCAAUUGUUGGAGAACGUGUCGAUUGCUCAGAAGUACUUUCAAUUAUUGAAGGGGAGGUUGUUGUAAGUUCGGAUGUAUAUUCUGAAGAGGGGACUGGUGAAGUCGUUUUUGAUGUGGUUGUUGAAGGCGAACUUGCAAUUGUUGGAGAAUGUGUCGAUUGCUCAGAAGUACUUUCAAUUAUUGAAGGGGAGGUUGUUGUAAGUUCGGAUGUAUAUUCUGAAGAGGGGACUGGUGUAGUCGUUUUUGAUGUGGUUGUUGAAGGCAAACUUGCAAUUGUUGGAGAAUGUGUCGAUUGCUCAGAAGUACUUUCAAUUAUUGAAGGGGAGGUUGUUGUAAGUUCGGAUGUAUAUUCUGAAGAGGGGACUGGUGUAGUCGUUUUUGAUGUGGUUGUUGAAGGCAAACUUGCAAUUGUUGGAGAACGUGUCGAUUGCUCAGAAGUACUUUCAAUUAUUGAAUGGGAGGUUGUUGUAAGUUCGGAUGUAUAUUCUGAAGAGGUGACUGGUGUAGUCGUUUUUGAUGUGGUUGUUGAAGGCGUGGUUGACGUAGUUAACUCAGGUGAAAUUGCAGUUGAUAGAGAACGUGUCGAUUGUUCAGAAGUACUUACAAUUGUUGAAGGGGAGGUUGGUGUACCUUCAGAUGUAUAUGCUGAAGACGUGACUUGUGUAGUUAUUUUUGUUGUUGUUGUUGAAGGUGUGGUUGACGUUGUUAAAGGUUUGGUUGACGUUGGAGGAGUGCUAGAUAUAGUACUUCCUGAUGUUAUCUGUGCGGAUACUGUGGACAAAAAGUAGUUUGUGAGAUAAAGAUGUAAAAAUUCUGAUGCAGUGUUU
ensembl:lncRNA